rnacentral:rRNA from 1 species
AGAGUUUGAUCAUGGCUCAGAAUCAACGCUGGCGGCGUGCCUAACACAUGCAAGUCGCACGAGAAAGUGGAGCAAUCCAUGAGUAAAGUGGCGCACGGGUGAGUAACACGUGAAUCAUCUACCUUCGAGUGGGGAAUAACUGGGAGAAAUCUCAGCUAAUACCGCAUAAUACCUACGGGUCAAAGCAGCAAUGCGCUUGAAGAGGAGUUCGCGGCAGAUUAGUUAGUUGGCGGGGUAAUGGCCCACCAAGACGAUGAUCUGUAUCCGGCCUGAGAGGGCGCACGGACACACUGGAACUGAAACACGGUCCAGACUCCUACGGGAGGCAGCAGUGGGGAAUUUUGCGCAAUGGGGGAAACCCUGACGCAGCAACGCCGCGUGGAGGAUGACAUAUCUUGGUAUGUAAACUCCUUUCGAUAGGGAAGAUUAUGACGGUACCUAUAGAAGAAGCCCCGGCUAACUUCGUGCCAGCAGCCGCGGUAAUACGAGGGGGGCAAGCGUUGUUCGGAUUUAUUGGGCGUAAAGGGUGCGUAGGCGGUUUGAUGAGUCUGGUGUGAAAUCUUUGGGCUCAACCCAAAGUCUGCACUAGAAACUGUCGGGCUUGAGUAUGGGAGAGGUGAGUGGAAUUUCCGGUGUAGCGGUGAAAUGCGUAGAUAUCGGAAGGAACACCUGUGGCGAAAGCGGCUCACUGGACCAUUACUGACGCUGAUGCACGAAAGCUAGGGGAGCAAACAGGAUUAGAUACCCUAGUAGUCC